rnacentral:rRNA from 1 species
ACUCCUACGGGAGGCAGCAGUGGGGAAUAUUGCACAAUGGGCGCAAGCCUGAUGCAGCCAUGCCGCGUGUGUGAAGAAGGCCUUCGGGUUGUAAAGCACUUUCAGUUGUGAGGAAGGUGGUGUCGUUAAUAGCGGCAUCAUUUGACGUUAGCAACAGAAGAAGCACCGGCUAACUCCGUGCCAGCAGCCGCGGUAAUACGGAGGGUGCGAGCGUUAAUCGGAUUUACUGGGCGUAAAGCGUGCGUAGGCGGCUUUUUAAGUCGGAUGUGAAAUCCCUGAGCUUAACUUAGGAAUUGCAUUCGAUACUGGGAAGCUAGAGUAUGGGAGAGGAUGGUAGAAUUCCAGGUGUAGCGGUGAAUGCGUAGAGAUCUGGAGGAAUACCGAUGGCGAAGGCAGCCAUCUGGCCUAAUACUGACGCUGAGGUACGAAAGCAUGGGGAGCAACAGGAUUAGAUACCCUGGUAGUGUACUGU